AUUGAACGCUGGCGGCAUGCUUUACACAUGCAAGUCGAACGGUAACAGGUUAAGCUGACGAGUGGCGAACGGGUGAGUAAUGCAUCGGAACGUGCCCGAUCGUGGGGGAUAACGCAGCGAAAGCUGCGCUAAUACCGCAUACGAUCUGAGGAUGAAAGCGGGGGACCGUAAGGCCUCGCGCGAUCGGAGCGGCCGAUGUCAGAUUAGGUAGUUGGUGGGGUAAAGGCCCACCAAGCCGACGAUCUGUAGCUGGUCUGAGAGGACGACCAGCCACACUGGGACUGAGACACGGCCCAGACUCCUACGGGAGGCAGCAGUGGGGAAUUUUGGACAAUGGGCGAAAGCCUGAUCCAGCAAUGCCGCGUGCAGGAAGAAGGCCUUCGGGUUGUAAACUGCUUUUGUACGGAGCGAAAAGGUCCUUUCUAAUGCAGGGGGCUCAUGACGGUACCGUAAGAAUAAGCACCGGCUAACUACGUGCCAGCAGCCGCCGUAA
rnacentral:rRNA from 1 species